AACGCACAUUGCGCCCCUUGGUAUUCCGGGGGGCAUGCCUGUUCGAGCGUCAUUAUAACCCCUCAAGCUCAGCUUGGUGUUGGGGCCUGCCAACUGGCAGCCCUUAAAACCAGUGGCGGCGCCAUCUGGCUCUAAGCGUAGUAAUUUCUCUCGCUAUAGGGUCCCGGUGGACGCUGGCCAGCAACCCCCCAUUCUUUACGGUUGACCUCGGAUCAGGUAGGGAUACCCGCUGAACUUAA
rnacentral:misc_RNA from 1 species